CAUACCGCAAUGAGAGGUUAAAGUAGUUUGCAUUCCCUGUUACCCAGAGAGUCAGUGGCCGCUGAGAACUGACACAAAAUGCAGAUGAAUUACAUCCUGGAGCUUUUGCUGUGAACCAUUAGUAGCAGUAAACGGUCAAAGCCGUUAUCUUUAUGAGUGAAGGAUUUUUUUCCUUAAUUUGGGUGGUACCGCGCGACAGCGUCCCUGCA
rnacentral:ncRNA from 1 species